UAUCAGCUGUUGGGCGUGCAUUCAAUUCCGUAGCAUUUGACUUUUAUUAAUUUUUUGUUAUUAAAAAAGCAUAUUAUUAAUGAAGGCGAUAAUACAAAGGGUUUCUGCCGCAAAAGUAACUGUUGGCGACGAGCUUAUUAGUUCCAUUGGACGUGGUCUUUGCGUGCUCGUGGGUAUAACACAUUCGGACACAGAAAAGGAUGUGGAAUAUAUCUAUGCAAGGUGACGCGGCCCAAAAGUUAUAUAACUCAUUUCUUAAACGUUUGGGUAAGGAUUAUGAUGGGGCGAAAGUUAAAGAUGGUAAAUUUGGUGCUUACAUGCAAGUUCACAUUCAAAACGAUGGUCCUGUUACUGUUGAAUUGGAAUCACCCGUGGAAGAAAGUAA
rnacentral:misc_RNA from 1 species